CCCACACCCAUGUGUGUAGGACCCUAAAGGAUCACCAUUAAAUUUGACAUAGAUCUCUAGAAAAGUUACCACAUGGGUGUGGGACUUGACUUUUCUAGAGAUAUGUGCCAAAUUUAAUGGUGAUCAUUUGGGAGUCUUACACACAUGGGUAUGGG
rnacentral:pre_miRNA from 1 species